rnacentral:lncRNA from 1 species
GCCAUUUUCUUUACAGCCCAGACAUUCCUGGGACUACAACACUUCCAGAACCAAAAGAGAACAUCAGUCUGCCUAAGAUUCUUGGUGUAAGCUUAGUUGGUGCUGAAGUAGAUUGCAUAAGCAUUUAAUGGCAUUUAGUUGUCCACUGAAUGCAUAUCCUUGGCUGAACACCAUGAAAAUUACCAAAUAAAAACUUUCAAAAAUUUUAGGAAAGAUCAUCAUGCAAUCUACAAAGAGAAGGUCCAGUCUCUGCAGUGCUGAGGUACUGAGGCCAGGGAGAUGAUGUCCUGUAGAAGAAAAAAAAAAAAAUUAAAUGUAUGAGUUGCUCUAUCUGCAUGUACACCUGCAAGCCAGAAGAGGGCAUCAGAUCCCAGAUACAGAUGGUUGUGAGUCCCCAGGUAGUUACUAGGAAUUGAACUCAGGACCUCUAGAAGAGCAGUCAGUGCUCUUAACCACUGAGCCAUUUCACCAGCCCCCAUAGCAUUCUUAAUUUCCCUUCCCUUCCUUGCACACACACACACACACACACACACACACACACACACACACACACACACACUUUCCCUAUCUUACACCCCAUUUCCUUAAACCCUGUUCCUUGGUCCCCUCCUAAUAGGCCACAUUCGCACAAGAGCAGGAUUUGCGUGACCUGUUUCUGCCAUCUUCCCAGGGUCCUUAACAUUUAGCAAGCCAUGCUUCUUGGAAAGAACGUACGGCAAAGAGGAGCAGAGGCACUGCCCUUCAAAGACUGGGCUGCCUGAUUUCCUGAGCAGUAUUUCUGUCCAUUUUGGGAGAGGACGGAGGAGCAGGGGUGAUGGCUGAAUUUCACAAGGGAAACGACCAGUACCCUGAAGGACAUCCACAGCAGGCAAGAUCCCAGAUCAAAGCAGGGUGAGCUAAGGAGAAAGUCUAUGUGGAAAACUGCCCCUCCCCUGGGCUCGGAACUUACCAAUGAGUCCCAGGGAGAGCAGGUGUUGAAGGGAGUCAAUAGUCAUGAGUUAAAACGUCUUGAUUGUGAAGAAGAUUGGGAUACUUGGCUCCCAACAGCAGGCCUUUCUCAGGAGGGUCAGACAGUGCUAGUUAAAAUCUUGUAGAUAGGGAACUAUUUUAUUCCACUGUGAGCUUCGUGGUGGCAUGGUGUUAUCAUCCCAUAACUAAUGAAGUGAAUGUAGAUCCCAGAUGUGGACUUUAAUUAAUUUAAUCAGUUCCUUGUUCUGUAAGAGCCUGUCUCACUCACUCACUCUCUCCCUGUCCUAUGUCCUUCAUAAUCAAAUGGCUUUUUCUUGAACCUCAGUGCCCAGAUCCUCUAAACUGGUGGCAUUACAGAUGCUCACCCUCACUGCAGAGCUGUUUGCUCUUUAGCCACUUGAUAUGUGUUCAUUGAUGAGGGGGAAGAGGAAGAAGAGGAAGAGGAGGAGGAGGAAGAAGAGGAAGAGGAGGAGGGGGGAAGGAGGAGGAUGUGGGAGUGUGCUUCUUGUAAGACCUCUAAAGAGGCAGACAGGAAAAUCUACAGAGAAAGGAGAGACAGUUGAGUGACCCAAAGUCAUUGCUGGGUAGAAAUUCUCUGGUGUGCGGUUCUUUGGCCAGCAGUGACCUUGGAGAAAAUGUGAGGACCGUGUGUGCUAAAUAAACCAAAGACUGAUCAACAUCCAAAUGGACACAUGUUCUUCUGUGAACUAGCUGAAUUGUCUCCUGAUGUUCUCACAAACAAAAGUCAAGGUGGAUCCCUUGGGCAUUUCAAUUUUUUCAGGCUGCUGGUUGGCCUCGAUAAAUCCACAAAUCUAAAACAAUGGACUGUGGCCUUAGUGACACACAUGCCAUCUUUAAACUUUCGUGUUUAACCCUCUUUACUUCAAAACUUCAGACAAAUCUAGCACUCAUAUUGAACUCAGAAUAGUUUUCUUUGAGAAUGUGAAGAUUUUAAAUAGCCAAAGAUUUCUUCAUGUAAGAGCUAGCCCAUUGUAGUGUAUCCUGCUCUUUGAAGUAAAUACCAAAUUGUCGCCUAUUAGGGACAGAGCAGUUGAAGGCCAGUGCAUGGGCUUAGCAAUCCAAAUUUGUGUUGCUGUCUUCCGAACCUGUCUGUAGAAUUUUAUUGCAAGGGUCAGAGCGCCCUCUGCUGGUCUGAUACUUUCAGCAAAUUAAUUUGCAGUGGGUUUCCAAGUCAACAAAUGUGUCUUGCAUUUUCAUCGGUACCAUUCCUUCAAUAGUGGAGAAUUUGGCCAGCAGUUAUCAAAUGAAGAGAGAAUGUCUUGAACUCUAGAGAGCUGUAGGAGACCUCAAAGCAGGCCUGUUUUAAAACGUUGCUGUGUUCUGUUGCUGUCUGGGAUGUGUGUUGUCAGCAUUGCUCUGUGUGGCUUUGGCUCAGCUCCGCUUCCUCCCACGAAAUCGAGAAGGAAGAUCAAUAAGAGGACUUCUUCUUCCGUGUGAAUGUAAAUGGUGUGAAAUAAAGCGUUUUGUAUGUGUGCAGAAUCAGUUUAGUUCCUGCCUUCAGCUUACUAAUAGGAAAUGAUUGUACCAUUUUAUAAUUAGGAAGAAAUUUAGAGGUGGAAGAGGGUGGGGAGGGAGUGUUAUUUUUAUAGUGGGAUGUCCGUUAUGUUUAGAAAACUUGAGAUAAAUUUUGUAUUUGUGAAGUUACAUUCCAUCCAUUCCAGGGUGGGGGUUCUUUAAAACUCUCCUUAGGUGGAAGGAAGAAUUUUCUCAUUUGCAGAAUAUCCGGAAUGCAUGUGUCGCCUUCCGUGGCAUGCACUUCUGUAACCUGCAGACCAUAACCAGCAAGUGUCUGUUUAAAAGCAGGAAGUAGAGCAGCAUUUUUUUAAAACUCUCUUUGUGUGACACAUUAUCUGUGAUUAAAAAAAAAACUACAAAGAUAAUGGAUCUGUAAGUCUGGAAUAAUCAGACAUGAUGUUAUAAGUCGGCCUCCAGCAUCACCAACCCCAUGAGCAAAGAGAAAACCCAGGCCUUUCUUUCUCCACCCUAGUGGGAAUUAUUAGCUUCUGUUGUCAAAGGGUGAUGCCACAGUCAGUAUUCCCUUGAGCUUGCCUAUGAUGUCAUUUUGGCUGGUCUGAGGGUGGAGUGAAAGAUAGGCCCAUCUCACCUGUAAUCUGAGAUAGGACAGUGAAGGCAACCCUGACCUCACUGCCUGCUGACCCACCAAUCACAAGAACUGGCUCUGGCUGGUUUUUGUCUGAGGGAAUUUUGGACUUGAAGUUUGGUUCACUUUUCUUGUGCUGAAAUAUGGUGGUAGUGCGUUCUACAGCCACGCUGUGAAGACAUCACUUCCCCUCGGAGUCCCCUGAGUAUUUACAAGCCUCAGCAGGGCAGCAUAGCUAUGUUCUGUUUGCCGUUUGUUGGUUUGCUUCUGUAUAGGUCUCUUUCCUUCCUCCCAGCCCCAGAUGCCUACCCGACUCUUUUAAAGCACUUUAUAUCUCUUUAAAUACAAAGGAAAUUGGAAGGAAAAAAAAAACCCUAUGACUUUAAAGGAACCCAUCUUCUGUUAGGAAAUACAGACUUUAUUUUGCUUUGUUGUCUUCUUGGUGUGCUUGGAGAACAUCCACAGUUUAUGUGGUCCUGGGCGCGUGAUGAAAUGGUUAAGGAUGAGAGCUGGAGACAUUCAAUCAGACGUGACUAUUUUCAUUAUAUUAAAGAUUCUAAUGUAAAUAAAUGCAACUGUGUUCUGACCUAUGGGUCAAAAGAUAUAGCAAACUAUAAAGAUUUCAACACAGGAUUGUGACUUUCAGGAAAGUUUUGUUUUGUUUUGUUUUGUUUUUUAAUAAAAUGGAAACAG